UACGUAGGGGGCAAGCGUUGUCCGGAUUUAUUGGGCGUAAAGAGCGUGUAGGCGGCCAGGUAGGUCUGGUGUGAAAACUCGAGGCUCAACCUCGAGAGGUCAUCGGAAACCAUCUGGCUAGAGUCCGGAAGAGGAGAGUGGAAUUCCUGGUGUAGCGGUGAAAUGCGCAGAUAUCAGGAAGAACACCGAUGGCGAAGGCAGCUCUCUGGGACGGUACUGACGCUGAGACGCGAAAGCGUGGGGAGCGAACAGG
rnacentral:rRNA from 1 species